UUAAGUUGGCUGAUUUUCUGCAUGUCAUGUGAAUGCCUUGGAUUUACAUGACCCGCCCGUCUCUCUUCCAUUUUUAUUUCAGAUGUGGUUUCUUUACAGUAGGUUAUAUAUUUUGAUCUUUUUUGUAUCCGAUAUUUUGAUCUUAUUUGUGCACAAUGCUGCAGAAUUCUCUAGUCAACAGGAAAGAUGGUCACUAGGAGGCAACAUGGAGCUUGCGAUUAACUGUGUCACUAGCUGAUGUUGAUGGCUUCUGCAUGCUUCUACGUGUCUGAAACAUGGACAAAACGGCAACUCUAGGAGAUUUCGUUUCUUGGCUUCAUGUUGAGUUGGUUGCAUGUUGCACUCUUUGUAUUGCUGCAACACAAACACCUGUCCUGUAAAUUUCUAGACAAGUUAGGUUCAGUUUAAUUUGUGGUCUGAAUAUGUAGGGCAUGAGUUGGUUGUAUGUAGAAGAAGCAUUUUCGGUUUUUACUUUGGUUGGUACAAUAA